rnacentral:rRNA from 1 species
UUAAAUUGAAGAGUUUGAUCAUGGCUCAGAUUGAACGCUGGCGGCAGGCCUAACACAUGCAAGUCGAACGGUAACAGGAAGCAGCUUGCUGCUUUGCUGACGAGUGGCGGACGGGUGAGG